rnacentral:rRNA from 1 species
CACGUAUUUAGCCGGAGCUUCUUAGUCAGGUACCGUCACUUUCUUCCCUGCUGAUAGGGCUUUACAUACCGAAAUACUUCUUCACUCACGCGGCGUUGCUGCAUCAGGGUUCCCCCCAUUGUGCAAUAUUCCCCACUGCUGCCUCCCGUAGGAGUCUGGGCCGUGUCUCAGUCCCAAUGUGGCCGUCCACUCUCUCAAGCCGGCUACUGAUCGCUGCCUUGGUAGGCCGUUACCCCGCCAACUAGCUAAUCAGACGCGGGCCCAUCCUGUACCACCGGAGUUUUCCCCGCAGCGCCAUGCGGCACCGCGGGCUUAUGCGGUAUUAGCAGCCGUUUCCAGCUGUUGUCCCCCUGUACAGGGCAGGUUACCCACGCGUUACUCACCCGUCCGCCACUAGGCUGUAUGCUGCUUCCGCCCGAAAGCUUCCGCUGCAUACGCCCCGUUCGACUUGCAUGUGUUAGGCACGCCGCCAGCGUUCAUCCUGAGCCAGGAUCAAACU